rnacentral:rRNA from 1 species
GACGGAGGAUGCAAGCGUUAUCCGGAAUGAUUGGGCGUAAAGCGUCCGCAGGUGGCAGUUCAAGUCUGCUGUCAAAGACCGGGGCUUAACUUCGGAAAGGCAGUGGAAACUGAACAGCUAGAGUAUGGUAGGGGUAGAGGGAACUCCUGGUGUAGCGGUGAAAUGCGUAGAGAUCAGGAAGAACAUCGGUGGCGAAGGCGCUCUGCUGGACCAUAACUGACACUCAGGGACGAAAGCUAGGGGAGCGAAUGGG